rnacentral:rRNA from 1 species
UACAGAGACUGCAAGCGUUAUUCGGAUUCACUGGGCGUAAAGGGUGCGCAGGCGGCCAAGUGUGUGAGGCGUGAAAGCCCGGGGCUUAACCCCGGAAUUGCACCGCAAACUACAUGGCUAGAGCAUUGGAGAGGGUAGCAGAAUUCAUGGUGUAGCAGUGAAAUGCGUAGAUAUCAUGAGGAAUACCAGAGGCGAAGGCGGCUACCUGGACAAUUGCUGACGCUCAGGCACGAAAGCGUGGGGAGCAAAAGGG